GGGACCUGCAGAGAGACCCAGGAGUUGUGAUGCCAUCGGCAGGGUGGGGAGCUCAGUGACCUCCCCACGGGAUGGCUGUGCCCAUACUCAUGACCCUCUCACCUGCCACUUAAUCCACAGUCCACCUGGCUAAUGCUGUCAAGCCCUUAGCACUGAGUUAAGUAUCUGAUUAACCUCCAUUGCAGCCUCUGGUUUAGCGAUGAAUCAACUGAAGCCCAGAGAGAGCAUCACAUGGUUAGUAAAUGGCAUGGCUGGGAUGGAACUCACUUCUGCCAGACUCCAGAGCUCUUCCCUGAUGGUGAUGCAGAAUUUAUGAGGGGCCCUGUGCCAUGGCAGAGCACCUCACAGUCCCUGUGGGGAACUCCAGGCAGCCAGGGCUGUCAGGGUUUACACCCUGACUGAGAAUCCCCAUCCCUGAGCUUGGGAGUAACUAACGCCCACCCCUCUCCCGCCCUCGGGGUGCUGCUGACACACCAGUGGCAUCAGAGUCAGGACACUGGGUUCCAUGUGGAUUCUGAUGCCACCUUGCUGGGUAGCACUGGGGACUAAGACCCUGCCCUACCCAGGGAAGAGGAAGAUGGUUUUAUCUCCCCACCUCCAUCGUCUUUUCAUUGAGAGAUCCCUGCAAGGGGGUGUCAUCCACUCAGCAAACACAAGUCAACGACUCAGGAUUGGUACAUGACAAGAAAGGUUGGGAAGCACCUUUCUUGAAGGCCUGGAUUUAACCCAGAGAGCCCCAAGUGAGGGGGCCAGGUGACCUCCCGUCCAGGACAGCCUGAAGCAAGAGGACACCUCCUCCUUCACAAUUCCAAAGGUGAUGCUACUUGACGGUGAAUUAUGACCUGCAUGUGGGUGUUGCUGUAUGUGGUGGCAGCUCAGGCCUCCAGAUGAGCAGAGUGGCAAGACGUCUCAGGAAAGUCCAGCAUGCGGUGCAGCCUGAAGUUGUUACAUAGCUCCAAAGCUGUCACCAUGUUCUGUCCUGGGCACAUCCUCCCCCAGGGCCACCCUCUGCCACGGGGGUACUCAAGGGUAAGGCACCAAACCCUUCCCUGCUCCACCUUUCUCUUUGCUAUGUGCACACCCACAUAUGUGUGCAUGUGUGCACACGGACAACCAGGACAGAUUAACACAUGUUGGCAAAGAAGAACAACAGUGGGCACUGACUACUAAAAAAUAUUUUUCUAUUUACAUAAUCCCAAAAGUAGGGGGGAAAUAUUUUGUGAACUCAGAAGGGACAAACAAGCUCAAUGUGGUUCUAGAGCCUCAAAAAGCCAGCCUAGCACCCCGUGAGCUGUGAUGAUCACAGAAACACAACACAGCCACCCUAGGAACUGUCGACAGGGACCCCAGUCCUGCCCUUCCUCAUGUGUUGCGUGGAGCUCCACCCUGCAAAGCAAACUUCAGGCCCUCAGAUUUAGGCUUUCUGUGCCCAGAGAAUACCAAGAUUGCUCAUUUGAGAGAGCCAAAGGGAUGUCACCUGGAGAGGCCUCUGCAGCCUCUCCUGCUGCUCAUCUCUCCCUGCACCCCUGCACAUCUGUGCUGGCCACACAGACACAGGGGUUCCUGUUACGUAGACUGACCUCAAUAGAGGCAAACCCAACUGCAUCCAAGUGGAGCCUGCACCAAUGUGUGUGUGUUUUUGGCAUGUGCUGUCACCAAAAACCCUGGGAAACACUCAUCAUGUAUGUCCUGAAUGAGGAAACACAUGUGCGCAUGCUUAUAGAAAAGUGGGAAUAUGUGCAUGAGCAUGGGUGUGGGUGCAUGAGCAUAUUCUGAGUGUGUGUGAGUGUGUGAGUAUGACCAUGUGAGAGCACGUCAGGGAGUAUGUCUAUGCCUGUGUAUGAGCAUGUCAGGGAGUGUGUGAGUAUGACUGUGUGUGAGCAUGUUAGGGAGUGUGUGUGAGCAUGACAGGGAGUGUGUAUGACCGUGUAUGAGCAUGUCAGGGAAUGUGUGUGUAUGACAGUGUGUAUGUCAGGGAGUGUGGGUAUGAUCAUGUGUGAGCAUGUCACGGAGUGUCUGUGUGUAUGACUGUGUGUGAUCAUGUCAAAGAGUGUGU